CAUGGGCACAUGGACCAAAGACAAGAAUUGCUUUAAUAUUUGUUGUGUUUUAGUGUGUUGAUACUUCAUAAGACUUAUUUUGAGUACUUGUACAGACCAGUUACUUAUUUUUUUAUUUAUUUUAUUCUUUCUUGGUCUUUUUUUGACUCUACAGGGUGGGAUAGUGACAUCUCAGCCUUACUGUUGCUGCUGUAUCUCCUGCCCCCAACUCCAAAGGGCCACAAGAAGGCAGUAAAGAUCAGCCCCCUUCAGGCAGCUGACCAUGAGGUGCGAUUUCUUAGGCAUAUCAGACCCGAACCAGACUAAUUAAAGAUUCGAUCGGGAGCAUGGUUGAAACAUGAGACGAAUUCCACAGAAAGGCAACAGGAUGUUGUAAAUCAACUCCUAGCACCACAGUCUGAAGCAAGAUAACCAACCAACUCUUUCACAGAACAGCUUUCAACAUUAACACAAUUAGAACAAUUAUUGACAAUUUCAAUUCGGAAAAGAGAUUGUGAAAUUUGGGGCAAGUAAUCCAGAUUGAUGGUCAAAGAGAUGCACAGCCUGACCAUCACAUGUAAACCCAUGAUGGUAAUCAUGAUCACAAGAUCCUUGGAUUGACUUACCCCACCUAGAAGACAAGCAGACUGAAAUUCCUUUAAGGGGACCUUUUAACCUCUGGUCUCCACAGAACGUCCUUAUGUCUUUUACAGAUGGAGAUGCACCAAAAUGAACUAAAAAAAGACUUAUAAAGGAAUAUCAGUCCAUUGCUUAACUCCAUAUCAUAUAUGAAACCCACACAUUUGACUAUCAUGUUUCUAAUCACUUAUUGUGUAUGUCUUUUUAAUAACUAUUGAAUAGCUUAAGGAUUCAUAUUCAUGUUUAGUAUGUGUGUGUUUGAAUCUUCUAGCUUGAAACAUUUCUGACCAUCAGUUAUUUGAUUAAAUGUAUCAUAUUCUUGUUAUAGGAAUCAUGUCCAAAAUUCUGACCACGUGAUUGACAAGAUAACAUGAUUUAUGAACGGGCAAGAAAAACAUUGCAACACCCCGAGCAAAGGCAAUAUCUAAUUGGUCAAGACAACAUUUGAGGUGUGGCCGAAAGGCCAGUUUUAUAUACUCAGGACACAAUCAAAUUUUGGAUUUUAGCUUUUGCUUUUUAGCUUUUGCUUUUAGUCAUGCCAGCUCUUAGCUGCUGCUUUUAGUCAUCACUCUUUGCGUUCUUUGAGCACUGUUCCAGCAUGCUUCGGCCUGCACGCCUGCUGCUACUUAGCCACGAUGAGAAGAAACACCAACUAGUCUCGUCAAACUUUACUUCUAUUCUUUUACUUUAGUUUAUUUUCUUUUCCGUUGAGAGUUUCGUGUUCUGAGUUAAGUUUUGUAACGCUGUGUCUCCGAGUCUGACCUAGAAUGCCCAUCUGAAACUUCAACCAGCCCACAGCUCCACGUCUUCAGACAACGCCCAACCAUGGG
rnacentral:lncRNA from 12 species